rnacentral:rRNA from 1 species
UAAUACGGAGGAUCCGAGCGUUAUCCGGAUUUAUUGGGUUUAAAGGGUGCGUAGGCGGAAUAAUAAGUCAGUUGUGAAAGUUUGCGGCUCAACCGUAAAAUUGCAGUUGAUACUGUUAUUCUUGAGUGUACAUAAGGUAGGCGGAAUUCGUGGUGUAGCGGUGAAAUGCUUAGAUAUCACGAAGAACUCCAAUUGCGAAGGCAGCUUACCGGGGUACAACUGACGCUGAGGCACGAAAGUGUGGGUAUCAAACAGGAUUAGAUACCCUGGUAGUCCACACAGUAAACGAUGAAUACUCGCUGUUUGCGAUAUACCGCAAGCGGCCAAGCGAAAGCAUUAAGUAUUCCACCUGGGGAGUACGCCGGCAACGGUGAAACUCAAAUGAAUUGACGG